CCUCAGGAACACAAUUUUAUAUAGUCAUUUUUGUGACAUAAUUUGAAACAAGAAUUGUGUUGUGAAUCUAUAUCAGAAUAAAGUAACCAACAAACAUAAAUCUUUACCAAAGUAUAUACAAUCUUUUUUUUUGUCAUCAACAUGAACAGACUCACAUAGACUUUAUCAACCAAACUGGUAUUAUAUAUCCAUGUGAACGAUAAAUAACAGUUGCUUUCUUGCACCUUCUGCGAGCUUGUCCGCUGUUUUAUUUUGAGUUCUUGGGAUACGGAUAAGCACCGAGUAUGUUAAACUUGCUUUGAGGUUCUUCAUAUCUUCUAGAUUGCUUGGAAACACUCGCCAAUCAUUUGGUUCCGAAAC
rnacentral:lncRNA from 1 species